rnacentral:rRNA from 1 species
GUGAAAUGCGUAGAUAUCUGGAAGAACAUCGAAGGCGAAGGCAGUGUCCUGGCUCGGAACUGACGCUCAGGUGCGAAAGCGAGGGGAGCAAACAGGAUUAGAUACCCUGGUAGUCCUCGCGGUAAACGAUGACCACUAGAUGUGGGAGGGCUCGACCCCUUCCGUAUCGCAGUUAACACAAUAAGUGGUCCGCCUGGGGAGUACGAUCGCAAGAUUAAAACUCAAAGGAAUUGACGGGGACCCGCACAAGCAGCGGAGCGUGUGGUUUAAUUCGAUGCGACGCGCAGAACCUUACCAGGAUUUGACAUGUCGAGGCACCAGCCAGAGAUGGCUGUCCGAGCAAUCGGCCUCGACACAGGUGCUGCAUGGCUGUCGUCAGCUCGUGCCGUGAGGUGUUGGGUUAAGUCCCCCAACGAGCGCAACCCUUGUCGUCGGUUGAAACUGUCCGGCGAGACCGCCACCACGCAGUGGAGGAAGAUGGGGAUGACGUCAAGUCAGCACGGCCCUUACAUCCUGGGCGACACACACGCUACAAUGGCUGGCACAAACGGUGGCCAACCCGCGAGGGGGAGCUAAUCCAAGCAAAGCCAGUCUCAGUUCGGAUGGUAGGCUGCAACCCGCCUGCCUGAAGCCGGAGUUGCUAGUAACCGUGGGUCAGCACACCACGGUGAAUACGUUCCCGGGUCUUGUACACACCGCCCGUCACACCACGAAAGUCGGCAGCACUUGAAGCCGCCGGGCUAACCCUUCUUCGGAAGGGAGGCAGGCGUCCAGGGUGAGGUCGGUGAUUGGGGUGAAGUCGUAACAAGGUAACCGU